GACGAGGGAUCCUAGCGUUGUUCGGAAUUAUUGGGCGUAAAGGGCUCGUAGGCGGCCAACUAAGUCAGACGUGAAAUCCCUCGGCUUAACCGGGGAACUGCGUCUGAUACUGGAUGGCUUGAGUUUGGGAGAGGGAUGCGGAAUUCCAGGUGUAGCGGUGAAAUGCGUAGAUAUCUGGAGGAACACCGGUGGCGAAGGCGGCAUCCUGGACCAACACUGACGCUGAGGAGCGAAAGCCAGGGGAGCAAACGGGG
rnacentral:rRNA from 1 species